CAAAUCUAUAACUACCAUCCCCUUUCUUUUAUUUCCUGCAAUGUCGUCGUUUCACCCUUCUCUCUCUAUUUCAGAAUUUUAGGGUUUGUUUAUUUACUAUCUUCGAUCUGUUGUGUCCAUCUCUCUCUCUGUCCAAUUCAUAUUCCUCCCUUCUUCUCUGUAUUUGCUCAAAUUUGGUAUACUCUAGGAAAUUCUUUUGGGCAAUUGAAACAACCCUUUUCUUCCCUGCUAAUAUUUAGGGCUUAAAGAUUGGGGCUUUAAGAUUGGAGUUUUCAUCAGUUUGGAUAGUUGUAGCUGUGUUUUUAUGAUUGUAACUUCUUGUUUUCAAUUGGAUUUAUAAAGGGUCUUGCUUGGUUUCAACAAUUGAAGUGUUUUCUUUUAGGGUUUGGUGGUGCCGUGGUGGGGUUUAGCGAAAGUCAUUGUUUAGGGUGAUAUGGAUAGUGUAUUUAGUGAAGAGAUACUUGCAGAUAAGCUUUCUAAGCUCAAUGGCACCCAGCAGUGCAUUGAAACUUUGUCCCAUUGGUGCAUCUUUCACCGAAGCAAAGCAGAAUCAGUUGUAGAGACAUGGGAUAAACAGUUCCACAACUCAGAUAUGCUCCAGAAAGUUCCUCUAUUGUAUCUUGCAAAUGACAUCCUACAGAACAGUAAGCGGAAAGGAAAUGAAUUUGUUAAGGAGUUUUGGAAAGUUCUUCCUGCUGCGCUAAAAAAUGUAGUUGAGAAAGGUGAUGACCGUGGGAAGAAGGCAGUCUCUAGAUUGGUAAAUAUAUGGGAAGAAAGGAAAGUAUUUGGGUCACGUGCCCGGAGCCUCAAAGAGGUAAUUCUUGGAGAAGAUGCACCUCCACCCUUGGAGCUCAACAAAAAACGUUCACGCUCCGUCAAAAUUACAAAACGAGAUUCACGAUCCACUAGAACGAAAUUGUCCAUCGGAGGCGAUGCUGAAAAAAUAGUAUCGGCAUUUCAUUUGGUGGUUAGUGAGCAACCCAAUGAAGAGACAGAGAUGAGUAAUUGCAAAUCUUCAGUUCGUCGUGUGAGGAAGAUGGAGAAAGAUGUUGAUGUUGCCUGUAGUGGUAAUGAUAAAGAUCCAAAACGAAAGACUUUGGCCAAGGAACUAGAGGAUGAAGAGAAUCUUUUGAAACAAAGCAUUGAGAAACUUAGAUCAAUUGAAGCAAGUAGAGUAGCACUUGUGUCUCUGUUAAAAGAAGCUCUACACGAACAGGAAUCUGAAUUGGAGGGAGUUCAAACUCAGAUGCAGGUUGCUCAGGCACAGGUAGAGGAAGCCAGCAACAUGCGAAGGCGGCUUAAUGGUGAAGAAUAUGUGUCAAAAGCAUCUACUGCAACAACAGUAUCAGUUGAUUCAAAUGCAAAAGCAGGACAAACACCUAAGAGGACAGCUGCUGAUAUUGCUGCUGAGGUUGCAGAAAAGCUUGCAGCUUCCUCAUCUUCUCAAAUGAUCAUGCACUCUGUUCUCUCUUCGUUUGCUGCUGAAGAAGCAAAGAAUGCUCAAUUAACGAAGGCCUAUGAUUCAUUGUCAAAACCGGAAAACUCAUUGCCUGUUUCAGAUCCAAAUGUUUUUAUGCCAGCCCAACCACUUGCUGCUCCAACAACACACUCGUAUCAGUCAGUUUUGCUGCCCCAACCUUCAAUGCAGAAUCAGACUCCAAGUGCUCAAGCUCAGUUUCACAUGCUUCCCAACCAAUCCUCUCAGCAAUAUUUACAGCCAGCAGGAGGGAUUAUGACCCCAUAUGCUUAUGGUAACAUUUCUCCCUUGCCUCCAGGACCACCUCCACCACCACCCCCACCCCCACCCUAUAUGGUAAGUCCAAUGGUGUCCAUGGCGCAACAACCAUCACAAAUACCUCAGCAGCAACCGCUACCAUUGGCACAACAGCAGGCCACAAUAAACCAGCAACAACAAAUGUCUUUAAACCAACAACCCCAGGGUCCUAAUUUCAGGCCUCUGCGACCACAUGGAAUGGUGUACUAUGGCCACCCUUCUCAUUCUUAGUGAAAAAUCAUACUAAUGGUGUUUUUGUUAAUUUUAGCCAGAGGCCAGUUUAAUUGAUCUUCACGUAGGUACGCUGCUUGUAAUUAGCGACCUUCCUCCUUUUCACAUGAGUAGGACUUCCAGUAAUGAGAAACACCCAGAAAUAUGACAAGCUAAAGAUAUCUCGACUGGUAAGCACAUAUUCUUAGUUAAUGAGCAAGAUUGUUUAACCCUUCAAGUCUUUGGUGUGCGCUCAUGCUAAGAGGACGGAUGGAAAAUCUCAAGACUCGUCAACAGGCAUCAUGCACACUGGAAACCAUACAAUACUCGUUGAAACAAAGGAGACCACGCAGUAUCUAGACCGCGAUUACAGCCCAUAUUAUUCAGCUGCAAUGCUGAUCAAACAUUCGUUUGAAAAACAAAUUCACCCUGGCAACUGCACCUUUUAUCAGCGUCAGCUAGACCUGGCCACCAUCUUAGCAAGGAUCAUCUGUAUUUAGAACUACCCUGAACAUCUUGCAAAGAUGGCCACCUUACGCAUUUUAACACUCCAGGGAUGAUUGAUUGGGGUAAAGUAAACAUCUGAGCGCACCAUUUAUCUUCCACAAAGGCCCUGUCUCUUGCACAAGCAUGAUCAGUGCUCGAAUUUCAGUGAUAAACUGUUUAAAAGACUUGUAUUAUUUGGUUUCAAAGACAGUCAAUACAGCGCUGCUCAUUCUCGCUACGACACCUGCCCGUCAAUAACUUUUUUUAGUUUUUAUUUUAUUUUAUUUUAUUUUUAUUUUAUUUUAUUUUUCAACAUUUAAUUUAUUAAUAUUUAUUAUUUUUUUAGUAUUUUA